rnacentral:rRNA from 1 species
AGAGUUUGAUCCUGGCUCAGAAUCAACGCUGGCGGCAUGCUUUACACAUGCAAGUCGAACGGACUUGAAGGGCUUGCUCUUCAAGUUAGUGGCGAACGGGUGAGUAAUGCAUCGGAACGUACCGUGUGAUGGGGGAUAACUAACCGAAAGGUUGGCUAAUACCGCAUACGCCCUGAGGGGGAAAGAGGGGGAUCGCAAGA